rnacentral:misc_RNA from 1 species
GAUGAAGAACGUAGCGAAAUGCGAUAAGUAGUGUGAAUUGCAGAAUUCAGUGAAUCAUCGAAUCUUUGAACGCACAUUGCGCCCCUUGGUAUUCCAUGGGGCAUGCCUGUUCGAGCGUCAUUUGUACCUUCAAGCUCUGCUUGGUGUUGGGUGUUUUGUCUCGCCUCUGCGUGUAGACUCGCCUUAAAACAAUUGGCAGCCGGCGUAUUGAUUUCGGAGCGCAGUACAUCUCGCGCUUUGCACUCAUAACGGCGACGUCCAAAAGUACAUUUUUACACUCUCGACCUCGGAUCAGGUAGGGAUACCCGCUGAACUUAAGCAUAUCAAUAAGCGGAGGA